GAUGAACGCUGGCGGCGUGCCUAAUACAUGCAAGUCGAGCGAAUGGAUUAAGAGCUUGCUCUUAUGAAGUUAGCGGCGGACGGGUGAGUAACACGUGGGUAACCUGCCCAUAAGACUGGGAUAACUCCGGGAAACCGGGGCUAAUACCGGAUAACAUUUUGAACCGCAUGGUUCGAAAUUGAAAGGCGGCUUCGGCUGUCACUUAUGGAUGGACCCGCGUCGCAUUAGCUAGUUGGUGAGGUAACGGCUCACCAAGGCAACGAUGCGUAGCCGACGUGAGAGGGUGAUCGGCCACACUGGGACUGAGACACGGCCCAGACUCCCACGGGAGGCAGCAGUAGGGAAUCUUCCGCAAGGGACGAAAGUCUGACGGAGCAACGCCGCGUGAGUGAUGAAGGCUUUCGGGUCGUAAAACUCUGUUGUUAGGGAAGAACAAGUGCUAGUUGAAUAAGCUGGCACCUUGACGGUACCUAACCAGAAAGCCACGGCUAACUACGUGCCAGCCGCCGCAGUAA
rnacentral:rRNA from 1 species